CAACAUUCCGAUCUCGAACAACUCGGAAGAACGAGAAGAAAAGGUAUAGUAAAAAGAAGAUGGCACUUUUAGGUAUUCAACCUCCCCGAAUCAAUCAGAGCAGGAACGGAAUUUGUUCUUCUUUUUUUACAGCCACAUAUAUCAUAUGCAUUGCGUAUCGACACAUGGGAUCGAUGCUUUUGUUGCCAUCAGGAAAGCCAAUAAAGCUAUAGCCAGCUAAUCACACCACAGUGACAGAACAGAAAAAUAGAAAUGGUGGUGGAGAGGAGCUUUUUUCUUUACUUUUCUAUGUCGAGUCAUGAUGUAAUAUUGGAUUGAUUAACACAACAUAUGGUGCGACCACAGUCACAGCGGACCGAGCAGAGACGAGUGCUUUGGCGUCGGCAUGUGGCUAGCGGGCUAGCGGCAGACGAUGCAGAGGACGACCGCGAUGAUGAGGAUCAGGAUGAGGAGCGGCAGGGAUAUGAUCAGCACGAACUCCAUCCGCCGCUUGCCUGCAGACACAAUCGAUCCAAAGUUUAAUCUUCCAUUCUUGUUUUUUCUUUGUACUUCGAGCAACAGAAAAUUGCUACUCUCAACUCUCAAGAGGGGUGGGAAAGCAAAGCAAUAUAAAAAAUGCUAUGCCAUUGCUUUCCCAGUCCCUCUCUCUGAACUGCUGUUCUACAGCCUGUGGAUCUGAUGCUCCAACAGUGGGUCAGACCCUCUAAUCGUGCAGAAAGAUUCAAACAGGAAUGAGUUACUCCCUCCCUCCGAUCCAAAAUAAGUAUCGUGGUUUUAGUUCAAAUUUGCAAAGAACUUGUAAUUCAUAUUUCCUGAGCCGCACCAAAUCUUGUAAGGAUUGCUUGUAACUUGUCAAGCAUCUGCCUCGAUCUUGGCUUGUUCGAGGCUUGGAUGCUCAGCAAAGGCAAAGCCAACCCCUUUAUUAUUACCAAAGGUGGGGGGGAUCUAAUUCCCUUGAAUGACCACAUCAAUUAGAGAAUUAUCAGUGAAACGAUUGAUUCGAUUCCUCGUUGGCGUGCCGUCCUUUCGCAUGGGUCAAACCUGGCUAAAUAAAGCUCUCUAGAACAGAAGAUUGUAGGUGAUAAGACUAUAGGUUCCUGAUCCAUUAUAAUUGGUGAAACUCCCUCGGAUUUGACUGAAUUAGAACAACUGCUAUAGUCCCCUUCCCCCCUCGACAGAUCAGUCAUAAGCAGCAGCAGCAGCUGGGUGGUCUAAUUCGAGCUAAAUAAUUAGUACUUGUACUUGCUAUUAGAAAGCUUGAGAGCAGUACUGACUGGAUCACUCUUGGAGCCAGUCAACAGAGGGGUCACCCGUGCGUGAGUCCUGGAGCUCACUGAGGAAUAAAUCCAAAAACUAAAAACAAGAUUUGACAGGGACAACAUGAGAAUUAAUUGUCUGGUACAGUACCUGCCCAAUCGAGCUGCUGAUCUUGUUGCUGCUCCUGGCCUCCUUGAUCUGUCGGAGACGAGGGGCUUGGGAGGGAGACGGAGGGGAGGAGCGGAGCGGAGCAGUGGAGCUUGGCGAUGGGGCAAGUGGUGUUGGUGCCCGUGCGUGGGCUGAAAUAAUCGCUAAUCAGGCAGAGAAGAGUGGAGUGGAGAAGAAAGGAAGAAAGUAGCAGCGGAAAAACGCGUGACGUGUGGCUCGCGAGUGUGGACCGAGGACUCCGGCGCCACGCCCGGG
rnacentral:lncRNA from 1 species